GAUGAACGCUGGCGGCGUGCCUAAUACAUGCAAGUCGAGCGAACAGACGAGGAGCUUGCUCCUCUGACGUUAGCGGCGGACGGGUGAGUAACACGUGGAUAACCUACCUAUAAGACUGGGAUAACUUCGGGAAACCGGAGCUAAUUCCGGAUAAUAUAUUGAACCGCAUGGUUCAAUAGUGAAAGGAGGUUUUGCUGUCACUUAUAGAUGGAUCCGCGCCGCAUUCGCUAGUUGGUAAGGUAACGGCUUACCAAGGAAACGAUGCGUAGCAGACCUGAGAGGGUGAUCGGCCACACUUGAACUGAGACACGGUCCAGACUCCUACUGGAGGCAACAAUAGGGAAUCUUCCGCAAUGGGCGAAAGCCUGACGGAACAACGCCGCGUGAUUGAUGAAGGUCUUCUGAUCGUAAAACUCUGUUAUUAGGGAAGAACAAAUGUGUAAGUAACUAUGCACGUCUUGACGGUACCUAAUCAGAAAGCCAUGGCUAACUACGUGCCAGCAGCCGCAGUAAAAC
rnacentral:rRNA from 1 species